rnacentral:SRP_RNA from 3 species
UGCUGGGUCCUGCGCGACGGAUCCCUGUGAACCCCGCCAGGCCCGGAAGGGAGCAACGGUAGCAGGGCUCUCCGGGUGCCGCAGGGGUGCCCAGCGGCC